rnacentral:rRNA from 1 species
CCCUUAGAUGUUCUGGGCUGCACGCGCGCUACACUGAUGCGCUCAACGAGUUUACGACCUUGCCCGGAAGGGUUGGGUAAUCUUUUUAAAACGCAUCGUGAUGGGGAUAGAUUAUUGCAAUUAUUAAUCUUUAACGAGGAAUUCCUAGUAAGCGCGAGUCAUCAGCUCGUGCUGAUUACGUCCCUGCCCUUUGUACACACCGCCCGUCGCUCCUACCGAUUUUGAGUGGUCCGGUGAACCUUCUGGAUUGUGCGGCUUGCCGCGCGAGAAGUUAUGUAAACCUUAUCACUUAGAGGAAGGAGAAGUCGUAACA